rnacentral:rRNA from 1 species
UAGGGAAUCUUCGGCAAUGGACGAAAGUCUGACCGAGCAACGCCGCGUGAGUGAAGAAGGUUUUCGGAUCGUAAAACUCUGUUGUUAGAGAAGAACAAGGACGUUAGUAACUGAACGUCCCCUGACGGUAUCUAACCAGAAAGCCACGGCUAACUACGUGCCAGCAGCCGCGGUAAUACGUAGGUGGCAAGCGUUGUCCGGAUUUAUUGGGCGUAAAGCGAGCGCAGGCGGUUUCUUAAGUCUGAUGUGAAAGCCCCCGGCUCAACCGGGGAGGGUCAUUGGAAACUGGGAGACUUGAGUGCAGAAAAGGAGAGUGGAAUUCCAUGUUUAGCGGUGAAAUGCGUAGAUAUAUGGAGGAACACCAGUGGCGAAGGCGGCUCUCUGGUCUGUAACUGACGCUGAGGCUCGAAAGCGUGGGGAGCAAACAGG